rnacentral:sRNA from 1 species
UGCUGAACUUGGGCAGUUUUAGAAAGUCACCAGACUCUGGCCUCCAAUCUGGGUUGCUAAAAUACUCUUAAACUUGUGUCUGCUCCCAAUAAACAGUCACAUUUGCUGCACACAGUAGGGACUCAAUCACUUUAAAAUCCAUCAGAACUCGUGGUGCGGAGGUGUCCUCCGUCAGCUCCACUAGUUACUCAGGCAGUGCAUGUCUUAGCAUACCAACCAGACGGGGCUCAUUCUCAGC